GGGUGAGUAACGCGUAUGCGACCUGCCCGUUGCAGGGGGAUAAUCGGGAGAAAUCCCGUCUAAUACCGCGUAACGCCGCGGGGCUGCAUGGCCCUGCGGCCAAAGGGAGCGAUUCCGGCAACGGAUGGGCAUGCGUGACAUUAGCUAGUUGGCGGGGCAACGGCCCACCAAGGCGACGAUGUCUAGGGGUUCUGAGAGGAAGGUCCCCCACACUGGUACUGAGACACGGACCAGACUCCUACGGGAGGCAGCAGUGAGGAAUAUUGGUCAAUGGGCGCGAGCCUGAACCAGCCAAGUCGCGUGAGGGAUGACGGCCCUACGGGUUGUAAACCUCUUUUGUCGGGGAGCAAAUUCCGCCACGUGUGGCGGAGUCGAGAGUACCCGAAGAAAAAGCAUCGGCUAACUCCGUGCCAGCAGCCGCGGUAAUACGGAGGAUGCGAGCGUUAUCCGGAUUUAUUGGGUUUAAAGGGUGCGUAGGCGGACUGUCAAGUCAGCGGUAAAAUACGGGGGCUCAACCUCCGCCCGCCGUUGAAACUGACGGUCUUGAGUGGGCGAGAAGUAUGCGGAAUGCGUGGUGUAGCGGUGAAAUGCAUAGAUAUCACGCAGAACUCCGAUUGCGAAGGCAGCAUACCGGCGCCCAACUGACGCUGAAGCACGAAAGCGUGGGUAUCGGACAGGAUUAGAUACCCUGGUAGUCCACGCAGUAAACGAU
rnacentral:rRNA from 1 species